rnacentral:rRNA from 1 species
UACAGAGGUGGCAAGCGUUGUUCGGAAUCACUGGGCGUAAAGGGCGCGUAGGCGGGUCCGCAAGUCGAUCGUGAAAUCCUUCGGCUCAACUGCAGGGGGUCGGUCGAUACUGCGGGUCUUGAGGGAUGCAGAGGAGACUGGAAUUCCCGGUGUAGCGGUGAAAUGUGUAGAGAUCGGGAGGAACACCGGUGGCGAAGGCGGGUCUCUGGGCAUCUCCUGACGCUGAGGCGCGAAAGCGUGGGGAGCAAACGGG